UGGGGUCAGACAGUGCAACAAGCUAUGGAGACGUUUGGGAGUUUUGUUAAAGCAAUUACGAGCUUCAGGGGCUAACAAGGGAAUUGGAGGCAGAGAUUAAUAAGAUGAAGAGAAGUAACUUGCCUGGUUUCUACGUUUAAGUCGCAGAGAGUUGAUGCAAUGAGAUCGUACAAAGCUGGAGCAACAAUAGCAGCAUACUUUGGAAUUGGAUGAACAACAUGGAUUCUUCACUUCAAUCCAGUGGACCUAAGUGUAUUGUUAAUCUGUCGAAUUAAGACUGCUUGGAGUAGUGGUGGCUGGUUGCUUGCUCUAUAUGAUGGAUGAGUUAUCUUUUUCUGUGUGGGCAUCAAGAAUGCCUCAGACCUUGAGAUUUGAGACACUACAGACAUGAGGUGAGGUUUUGGAGUAGGAGUUAAGAAGGUUACUGGUUUUGAACUCAUUUACCCAUAACACUUGAGGUGAGUUGAAACAAUUACCCCACCUAAAACAAAUGUUCCUUUUAGAAAUUUGAGGUGAGCUCCUUCUACUGUUUUUUCCUAAAACCCUUUAGAAAUUUGAGGUGAGACUGUAGAGCUAAACCCUUUAGAAGGAGUUUUCCCUCUUUAGAAAAAAGAGAUAAAAAUUACUUUUACAUUUAAUCAGUCACUGUGCAUGUUGUGUGAAUAAAUGUAUUAUCUUACAUUGGAAAAGAAAAGGUGGAGUAAAGUCAGAUAUAUGUUCCUAUGUAUUAGAUGGUGCUUUUGUAUAUAUGGAGUUGCAUAACAAUUACAAUUGCACUUUUGAAAUAUGACAAUAAGAUCAUCUGAUGUCAAGUGGCUUAUCAAUGCAACAUAAAUUAAAAUGUUUAGCACACUCUUAGUGUGAAAACAACUAUAUAUGUUGUAUCCAUACAGUGAUUGUAUAACUUGAUGAUGUUUGUUAGUUACUAUAAUUUUGUUCGUUUGUUAUUUAGUGUUAUUACUGGUUCCAUUCUUAUUGGGAUUCAUAUAUCUUUGUGGUUCCUGGAAAGCCUCUGAAUUGUGCAAGAUGAAGUGACCUCUUUGAAUCCAAUACAUUAUUGAAAUCAAAAGGUUUCUUGAUUAUUUUAUAUCAAUGGUUCCUUUGUAGCUAAAUUCAGUGUAAAAGAUCAGAUGUAUGCAAAGCCUCUAGGUCUGUGAACCUGCAGUGGACAAAUUGGAACUGCACUUAUUGAAACUCAGUAA